rnacentral:rRNA from 1 species
GUCUAUGGCCACGCUACCCUGAACAAGCCCGAUCUCGACUGAUCUCAGAAGCUGAGCAGGGUCGGGUCUGGUUAAUACUUGGAUGGGAGACCACCUAGGAAGACCAGGUGCUGUAGGCA